CGCCGUAAACGGUGGGGCGCUAGUUGUGCGAACCUUCCACGGUUUGUGCGACGCAGCUAACGCAUUAAGCGCCCCGCCUGGGGAGUACGAUCGCAAGAUUAAAACUCAAAGGAAUUGACGGGGCCCCGCACAAGCAGCGGAGCAUGCGGCUUAAUUCGACGCAACGCGAAGAACCUUACCAAGGCUUGACAUAUACAGGAAUAUGGCAGAGAUGUCAUAGCCGCAAGGUCUGUAUACAGGUGGUGCAUGGUUGUCGUCAGCUCGUGUCGUGAGAUGUUGGGUUAAGUCCCGCAACGAGCGCAACCCUCGUUCUGUGUUGCCAGCAUUUAGUUGGGGACUCACAGGAGACUGCCGGGGUUAACUCGGAGGAAGGUGGGGAUGACGUCAAAUCAUCAUGCCCCUUAUGUCUUGGGCUGCACGCAUGCUACAAUGGCUGGUACAAACGGCUGCGAUACCGCAAGGUGGAGCGAAUCCGAUAAAGCCAGUCUCAGUUCGGAUUGGGGUCUGCAACUCGACCCCAUGAAGUCGGAGUUGCUAGUAAUCGUAGAUCAGCAACGCUACGGUGAAUACGUUCCCGGGGCUUGUACACACCGCCCGUCACAUCACGAAAGUCGGUAACACCC
rnacentral:rRNA from 1 species